rnacentral:rRNA from 1 species
GAUGAACGCUGGCGGCGUGCCUAAUACAUGCAAGUCGAGCGAACGGACGAGAAGCUUGCUUUUCUGAUGUUAGCGGCGGACGGGUGAGUAACACGUGGAUAACCUACCUAUAAGACUGGGAUAACUUCGGGAAACCGGAGCUAAUACCGGAUAAUAAUUUGAACCGCAUGGUUCAAAAGUGAAAGACGGUCUUGCUGUCACUUAUAGAUGGAUCCGCGCUGCAUUAGCUAGUUGGUAAGGUAACGGCUUACCAAGGCAACGAUGCAUAGCCGACCUGAGAGGGUGAUCGGCCACACUGGAACUGAGACACGGUCCAGACUCCUACGGGAGGCAGCAGUAGGGAAUCUUCCGCAAUGGGCGAAAGCCUGACGGAGCAACGCCGCGUGAGUGAUGAAGGUCUUCGGAUCGUAAAACUCUGUUAUUAGGGAAGAACAUAUGUGUAAGUAACUGUGCACAUCUUGACGGUACCUAAUCAGAAAGCCACGGCUAACUACGUG